rnacentral:lncRNA from 1 species
CCUUUUUCAAAGCUGUACUGUUGUCGGUAAAUUCUUUUUACCAACCCCCCAGUCGACCACUUCCCGGUGCCGGGGCUCUGACACCGCGCGCAGAGACAGAGGCAGGCGGCCCCCUCUCUGCUGCCCCUUCUCCCUGCUGGUCUCAUGAAUGCUCUCACCUGAGCUUCUCCUUUUCCUUUUCUACUUUCUCCUUUACCAAGGGCGCAGCUGCUCUUCGGAGAGGCAGUUGGGUCCACAGAAUCAGCUGCCUCUUGGAGAGCGGUGUGAGGUUAUGAGGGAGCUGAGGGGAAGUAAAGAGAGGGUCCAGUGUGCCUCACCUUGGUCCCACACACCGAAGGAAAGGGUUUCAGAGAGGACUGGUGGAUGCUGACACACCGUCCAUUUUGAGAAGACUCCUUGUAUGGGUGGCAGUGUGCUUCCCCAAAACUCAUGUUGAAGCCCUAACCCAUAACACCUUAGAAUGUGACUGUAUUUAGAGACUGGAUUUCUAAAGAGGCGAUUAAUUUUAAAGAGACCAUUAGGGUGAGCCCUAAUCCAAUCUGCCUGCUGUUCUUAUAAGAAGAGGAAAUUGAACCUGCAAGGAGCUAUUAGGGCCUCUUGCAGAGAGGGAUGACCGCAUGCAGAGGCCACAAGAGGGCGCCCUCUGCAAGCCAAGGAGAAACCUCAGAAGACACCAACCCUGAAGAGGAAAUUGAUGUUGGACUUCUGGCCUCCGGAAGAACACAGAGUCUUGCUGUGUUGCACAAGCUGACCUCCAACUUCUAGGCUCAAGUGAUCCUUCCACCUCGACCUCCCGCAGUGUUGGAAUAACAGGUCUCAGCAACUCCUUUGUUGCCAACUUUUACCGGACCCAUGGGUCUGAAAGAGAAGCACAGUCCAUAGUGUUCCAGCUUUGAGUGUGGCUCUCUCAGAAGAAGGUGUGACAGCUGCCUCCUUGCUAAGAGAAAGACGUUUCAGUGUCUGCCUCCUGGGAAUGGAGUCUCCUGGUGACUCUGAGGAUGGCGCAGGACUCUCCCAGCUAACACUACACAGAGGCUCCCCCUCUUCAUGCCACCCCUUUGCCAGCUGCAGCCUGUGUGGACCCAGACACUUCUGACCCAGGCUCCAGUGCCCGCAUGUCUGAUAGCCUGUAUUUCAAACUCUGGGCUCUCCUGGACAUUCCCUCUCCAGCUGUAUAUGAUGUUAUUUUUCAGACCCAUUUACUGUUGUCCAGUGGCCUGCCAAGACCUUUAGGUGAAGACGCUGACUCCCUCGCCGGCUCUUCUUCAUUCUUUUCAAACACACGUCAGAGUGGAACGCACAUCCUUUUUGCUUCACCUUCCAGGGAGAGAACGAGUCUUGAAGCAUCAACAGCUCUUUGAACACUUCCCAGGAAGACUAUUCAAGGACAUCUCUACUGGAAUCAGAAUUAUUUCCUUGGAGAUGGAGAGCUCCAAAACCCACAGUGCUUGGAAGUGAGUAUUGUGUGGUUGGAGAUAGUUUGCAGACUUUAGAUGGUAGCUGUGGAUGGUGAACUGAAAGUCAUCCUCAGCUUAAUGAUGAGUUGUCAUUUAUAAAAGAUAUCCAAAUUUUUUAUUGCAAUUAUUGUAUAGAAGUGAUCUCACAUCUGUUCUCCUUUUCUCUGCUUCCCAAAGGUAUUAUACAGAAACACAUUGUACAAAAUGUUACUCUUUGAGGAGUUUCAUUUGUUUCAU